CCCCCGUCAGGCUGCCCCACAAUGGCUAUUUUACCUCCGUUCAGGUACCCGUGGAGUCCAGAAGAGGGCGUCAGAUCCGGAGCUCUCUGACAUGGAUGCUGGGAACUGAAGUUGGACUCUCUGGAAGACCAUCUAGUUCUUUUUACAACAGAGCCACUUCUCCAGCCCCCAGGCUAUUACAAAACAUUUUUUUUUAUUCAUUCUCAUUCUCUUUCCCUCUCUAGUCAGUCACACCCCUCCCACGUGUGCCAUGCCCACUGCUUUCUCUUCUCUGUGUAGGUCGCAAGCAUUGAAUUCAGGCUGUCAGGUAGGCUUGGGACAAGUGCUGUCUGACUACUGUUAUACCCUUUCUCUGGUAUAUUUUUGUUUUGUUUUCUAGCUUUUCUGAUGCUCAUGUUUGGAGACAGAAGGGUGUUAUGGAAACAUUAGUUCCCAGCUUUGGGGCUGUGGGUCACCCACAAUCAAUGUGUAGGUUGUUUCCGGCAGCUGCGUUUCUCACUGUGUCAACCUGGUUAGUCUGAAACUUGCUAUGUAGAUCAGGAUGACCUCAAAUCACAGAGAUUGCCCUGCCACUCGAGUGCUGGAACUGAACUCACAUUGUCAGGCUUGGCUGCAAGCCCCUUUAUCCACUGAGCCCUCUCAUCAGCCCUGUUUUUGUUAUUUUUAGACAAACAAUUUAUGUUUGCUUAUAAAACAUCAGAAAAUAAAAAAACCUCUGAUUAUAUUA